AGUGAACGCUGGCGGUAGGCCUAACACAUGCAAGUCGAACGGCAGCACAGUAAGAGCUUGCUCUUACGGGUGGCGAGUGGCGGACGGGUGAGGAAUAUAUCGGAAUCUACUUUUUCGUGGGGGAUAACGUAGGGAAACUUACGCUAAUACCGCAUAUGACCUACGGGUGAAAGCAGGGGAUCUUCUGACCUUGUGCGAUUGAAUGAGCCGAUGUCGGAGUAGCUAGUUGGCGGGGUAAGGGCCCACCAGGGCGACGAUCCGUAGCUGGUCUGAGUGGAUGGUCGCACGCCUGGGAGGUGGAACGGGGUCACGAGUCCUGCGGGAGGGAGCAGUGGGGAAUAGUGGACAAUGGGCGGGAGCCUGAUACAACCAGACCGCGUGGGUUAAGAAAGCCUUGGGGUUGUAAAGCCCUUUUGUUGGGAAAGAAAAGCAGCAGGUUGAUACCCCGCUGUACUGACGGUACCCAAAGAAUAAGCACCGGCUAACUUCGUG
rnacentral:rRNA from 1 species